rnacentral:piRNA from 1 species
CUCGGAGAGGGAAGAACGCGGUG